UACGUAGGGUGCAAGCGUUAAUCGGAAUUACUGGGCGUAAAGCGUGCGCAGGCGGUUUUGUAAGUCUGUCGUGAAAUCCCCGGGCUCAACCUGGGAAUGGCGAUGGAGACUGCAAGGCUAGAGUUUGGCAGAGGGGGGUAGAAUUCCACGUGUAGCAGUGAAAUGCGUAGAUAUGAUGGAGGAACACCGAUGGCGAAGGCAGCCCCCUGGGUCAAAACUGACGCUCAUGCACGAAAGCGUGGGGAGCAAACAGGG
rnacentral:rRNA from 1 species